rnacentral:RNase_P_RNA from 1 species
GACGGUUGGAUGACCGCGGGAAGCUGUCCGAAAGGUGCUUUUCGAGGAAAGUCCGGGCUCCACGGGGAUACGGUGCCGGGUAAUGCCCGGCGGGGGUGACCCUAGGGAAAGUGCCACAGAAAGCAAACCGCCUGCCGGCUUCGGCCGAUAGGUAAGGGUGAAAGGGUGCGGUAAGAGCGCACCGCUCCAAGGGUAACUGCGGAGGCAUGGUAAACCCCACCGGGAGCAAAACCGAAUAGGGACAGCCGCGGUUCGCCGCAGGCGCAUCUUCGCGUCGUUGUCCGGGUAGGUUGCGUGAGGCGUUCGGCAACGAACGUCCCAGAUGAAUGGUCAUCCAACGCCUUCGGGCGCGGACAGAACCCGGCUUACAGACCGUCUGG